rnacentral:rRNA from 1 species
AAGUCGAGCGGUAGCACAGAGAGCUUGCUCUCGGGUGACGAGCGGCGGACGGGUGAGUAAUGUCUGGGAAACUGCCUGAUGGAGGGGGAUAACUACUGGAAACGGUAGCUAAUACCGCAUAACGUCGCAAGACCAAAGUGGGGGACCUUCGGGCCUCAUGCCAUCAGAUGUGCCCAGAUGGGAUUAGCUAGUAGGUGGGGUAACGGCUCACCUAGGCGACGAUCCCUAGCUGGUCUGAGAGGAUG